rnacentral:tRNA from 1 species
GCUAGCGUAUCUUAAUACAAAGCAUAGCACUGAAGAUGCUAAGAUGAGUCCUAAAAAACUCCGCAUGCA